AUGGACAUUGCAACCUCAUCUUAUGACAAUGGACAAUACUCUGUUCAGAAUUGCAUUCAUGUCUUGAAAGAUCUAACGAUAUUCAGUUCGUUGGGAGAAAUGCAUUAUGGAUAUUCUUUAGAAUUGCUUAAAGAUAAAGAAAAUAGGGUCAUGAUUGUUUCUUCGAAAGAUUGCACGGCUCUCUUGGUUAGUUGGAUAAAAUACAAGUAUCAAAAGGCAAAUCACUAG